CCUACGGGUGGCAGCAGUGAGGAAUAUUGGUCAAUGGACGAGAGUCUGAACCAACCAAGUAGCGUGAAGGAUGACUGCCCUAUGGGUUGUAAACUUCUUUUAUAUGGGAAUAAAAUGUUCCACGUGUGGGAUUUUGUAUGUACCAUAUGAAUAAGGAUCGGCUAACUCCGUGCCAGCAGCCGCGGUAAUACGGAGGAUCCGAGCGUUAUCCGGAUUUAUUGGGUUUAAAGGGAGCGUAGGUGGAUUGUUAAGUCAGUUGUGAAAGUUUGCGGCUCAACCGUAAAAUUGCAGUUGAAACUGGCAGUCUUGAGUACAGUAGAGGUGGGCGGAAUGCGUGGUGUAGCGGUGAAAUGCUUAGAUAUCACGAAGAACUCCGAUUGCGAAGGCAGUUCACUGGACUGCAACUGACACUGAGGCUCGAAAGUGUGGGUAUCAAACAGGAUUAGAUACCCCAGUAGUC
rnacentral:rRNA from 1 species